CGACCUGGUGGGGCUGGCUCGGCCCGAGUGCACGCAGGUGAGGCGCAGGCCCAGACGGCAGCGGACUCUCCCGAGACACUGGGCCGAGAGAACCCGUCGGCAAACGCACCAGACGGGCGGAAAAAAAGGGCAGGAUGAAGGGAGGAAGACAUAGCCAGCCAAAGAAGGGAGAAGAGGAGAAACAUCUGGAAAAUAUCAGUGUUGCAGAGCCUCCCGGAAACUGACCUCGCCACCGAAAGGGUGGGACUUCUUGAUUCUUGUAUGUUUAAGAAACAUCCCAACAUCCUUCACAUGGCAACAUGUGUGGAAGUCAUACCAACAAUCUAUUACCGCCUGCCUGAUACAAAAUUGCAACUAAGUUAGCAACACUUCUCAUUUAAUAACAAACUGUACUUAAAUUUAAAUACUAUGUUGAACUACAAGUGUCUAAUAAUGGAACUCCCACCUUUGUGUCAAGAUGGAAGAAUGAAAAUGGUGGCU